GACGAACGCUGGCGGCGUGCUUAACACAUGCAAGUCGAACGGAAAGGCCCUGCUUUUGUGGGGUGCUCGAGUGGCGAACGGGUGAGUAACACGUGAGUAACCUGCCCUUGACUGUGGGAUAACUUCAGGAAACUGGGGCUAAUACCGGAUAGGAGCUCCUGCUGCGUGGGGGGGGUUGGAAAGUUUCGGCGGUUGGGGAUGGACUCGCGGCUUAUCAGCUGGUUGGGGGGGUAGUGGCGUACCAAGGCUUUGACGGGUAGCCGGCCUGAGAGGGUGACCGGCCACAUUGGGCCUGAGGUACGGCCCAGUCUCCUACGGGAGGCAGCGGUGGAGAGUAUUGCGCAGUGGGCGGGAGCCUGAUGCGGCGGCGCCGCGUGCGGGAUGACGGCCUUCGGGUGGUGAACCGCUUUCGCCUGUGACGAAGCGUGAGUGACGGUAAUGGGUAAGAAAGCACCGGCUAACUACGUG
rnacentral:rRNA from 1 species